rnacentral:tRNA from 1 species
GCCUGGGUGGCUCAGUCGGUUGAGCAUCCGACUUCAGCUCAGGUCAUGAUUUCCCUGUUUGUGAGUUCGAGCCCACAUCAGGCU